rnacentral:lncRNA from 1 species
GUGGUUCUUUGAAAAAGCAAGAUCCCUGGGAAUAUACAUCUCAAAUUCCUUUCUAAAAUAUGACAGGCUCAGGUAGCUUCCUCGUAUACCUGUGCUGAACAGUGCUGUCCUGAACACUCGUGAGGGCUCUUCUGCAGGUCUAGGGAGCUGUUUCUCCAUGCAGCUCUCUCCUCUCCUAUCCGCUGCCCUGGGAACUCUAGUCUGGUCUCCACGGACUCUCCACAAAAAUCUCCAUCCCUUCCACUUGUGCUCUCCGUUCCUGCCCUGUGGUCUGGAAACUCUCAAAGCAAUAAACGAGAGCACUCAAAGGACACACCUCAUUUGCUUCUCAUUUCUAAGAGCUCACAUUCCUUCAUUGCCUGAUGUGCAGUGUCUUGAAACCUGUUUCAUAUAUUUUAUCAAGUUUUUUUUUAGUUGUUUUUCAGGUGGGAGAGUAAAUUGGUCCCUAUCACUCUAUCUCAGAAGCCGAAGUCUCCAUAGUUUACUUAAAAGUGUGUAAACUUCCAAGUAUAUGGAAUUGUCCAGAUACCUUUCUAUUAUUGGUUCCUAGUUUAAUUACCUUUUGGUCUCUGAACACCUUCUGUGGUUUCCUUUAUUUUAAAUUGCUAAGGUUUAAAAGUUUGUUUUGUGGCCCACUUUAUGGAAUAUUGUCUAUCUUGGUGAACUUUCCAUGUACAUUGCAAAGAAUGUAUAUUCUGCUGUUGUUGGCUGGACUGUUCUGUAAAUCUCAGCGUAUUAGUCAGGGUUAUCCAGAGAAACAGAACCAAUAGGAGAUAUUUAUAUACAUAGUUGGAUCACAUAACUGUGGGGCUGACAUGUCUGAAAUUCACAGGGCAGGCUGCAGGCUGGAAGUUCUGGCAAGAGCUGAUAUUGUAGUUUGGGAGGCACAAUUCCUACCAGUUCCAGGGGCUUUCAACUAAUUGGAUAGGGCCCAUCUACAUUACGGAAGAUAAUUUGCUUUACCCAAAGUCUACUGGCUUAAAUGUUAAUCAAUCUAAGAUCUACCUUCAUAGCAAUAUCUACACUGGUAUUUGACCAACAUCUGGGUGUCAUCACCUAGCCGAAUAGACACAUAAAAUUAACCAUCACUGUUAGCGGUGGAAGACAUCCAAGUUAUCCAAAGUUACCUGUGGUGCAUCUGUGUGAGUUGGCAGCAACUCCAGUCCUUGCCUCCUCAGAAGAAAGAAUUUGACUGAGGGGCAUAAAGCAGAAGAAGAGACUGCCGCAAGUUUCAGGGCAGGAAUGAAAAUUUAUUAAAAGGCUUUAGAACAGUAAGGAAAGAAAAGAAGGAAAGUACAACUUGAAAGUACAAGAGGUCAAGCUGUGCACUUGGUUUCUCAAGGGCCAGGCAGGCAACUUGAGAAGUCAAGUGCAUAGCCUGACCUCUUGACUUGGGGUUCUAUAGGUUGGCAUAACUCCGGGAUCUUAUUGGGAAGCUGCUGAUCAGUUUCGAGUGUUUUCUACCUAUUAGGAGACUGCCUUUCUGUGGUGCCAGCCAUGACCAAUUAUUACUUUAGAGAAACGGUUAACAACCGCCUGACCAUCACCUGAUGGUUGCCCAACACUCCUGGUGUGUGUGUUGUGGGGAGCCCUCUCCUGCCUUGCUCCAGGCUACCUACUGUAACAUCACAGUCAGGUCCAGUUGGCCUAUGAUGUUCAUGACUGCUAAAUGCUUGCUAAUUUUGUCUUUUUGUCCUACCAAUUACUGAUAGAGAAGAGUCUCCAAAUAUAAUUGUGCUUUGAAUAUUUCUUCUUCAGCUUUAUUAAUUUUACCUCAUGUUUUUUGAACUUCUGUUUUAGGGACGUACACUGAGGACAUUUAUGGUUUUUGGUGAACUUACUCUUUCAUCAUUUUAUAAUGCUCCUCCCUCGUAAUUUUCCUUAUUCUGAAAUUUACUUUGAUCUUAAAAUUACGGUAGCAGUUUUCUUAUAAUUUGUGUUUGUAUCGUGUAUCUUUUUA